rnacentral:rRNA from 1 species
UACGUAGGGGGGCUAGCGUUGUCCGGAUUUAUUGGGCGUAAAGCGCGUGUAGGCGGCGUGGCAAGUCGGGUGUGAAAGCCCUCAGCUCAACUGAGGAAGUGCGCCCCGAAACUGCUGUGCUUGAGUGCCGGAGAGGGUGGCGGAAAUUCCCCCAAGUAGAGGUGAAAUUCGUAGAUAUGGGGGAGGAACACCGGUGGCGAAGGCGGCCACCUGGACGGUAACUGACGCUGAGACGCGAAAGCGUGGGGAGCAAACAGG